rnacentral:ncRNA from 2 species
AAAUAUUGUCAGGGGAGCCGUUGUGGCGGCUGAGAGGUUACCGAAGUAACGACCCUUUGAACCUGUUGGUUAGAACCGGCGUAGGGAGCCAAUGCUGAAAAUUG